rnacentral:rRNA from 1 species
CCAGACUCCUACGGGAGGCAGCAGUGAGGAAUAUUGGUCAAUGGGCGCAAGCCUGAACCAGCCAAGUCGCGUGAGGGAUGACGGUCCUAUGGAUUGUAAACCUCUUUUGUCAGGGAACAAAGGCGGGGACGUGUCCCCGGAUGAGUGUACCUGAAGAAAAAGCAUCGGCUAACUCCGUGCCAGCAGCCGCGGUAAUACGGAGGAUGCGAGCGUUAUCCGGAUUUAUUGGGUUUAAAGGGUGCGUAGGCGGACUGUCAAGUCAGCGGUAAAAUCGAGAGGCUCAACCUCUUUCCGCCGUUGAAACUGUCGGUCUUGAGUGGGCGAGAAGUAUGCGGAAUGCGUGGUGUAGCGGUGAAAUGCAUAGAUAUCACGCAGAACUCCGAUUGCGAAGGCAGCAUACCGGCGCCCGACUGACGCUGAGGCACAAAAGCGUGGGUAUCGAACAGGAUUAGAUACCCUGGUAA